AGAAGGAUGGCUGAGUGGAUUAAGGCAUUGGUUUGUUAAAUCAACAUACAAAAAAUUGUAUCAUAAGUUCGAAUCCCAUUUCUUCUG
rnacentral:tRNA from 1 species